GCUGUAAUCGCGCAUCAGCCACGGCGCGGUGAAUACGUUCCCGGGCCUUGUACACACCGCCCGUCAAGCCAUGGAAGCCGGGGGUGCCUGAAGUGCGCUGCCGCAAGGAGCGCCCUAGGGUAAAACCGGUGACUGGGGCUAAGUCGUAACAAGGUAAC
rnacentral:rRNA from 1 species